GUCGUCGUGGCCGAGUGGUUAAGGCGACAGACUUGAAAUUUCUGUUGGGCUCUGCCCGCCCAGGUUUCGAAUCCUGUCCGCGACG
rfam:Ciona savignyi cont_35287, whole genome shotgun sequence.